CAGGCCUAACACAUGCAAGUCGAACGGAAAUUUAUCGCUGAAGUGGGUUUACUCAAUUCUUGAUAAAUUUUAGUGGCGGACGGGUGAGUAACGCGUGGGUAACCUGCCUUACACUGGGGGACAACAGUUGGAAACGACUGCUAAUACCGCAUAAGCGCACAGAAUCGCAUGAUUCAGUGUGAAAAACUCCGGUGGUGUAAGAUGGACCCGCGUCUGAUUAGCUAGUUGGUGAGGUAACGGCCCACCAAGGCGACGAUCAGUAGCCGGCCUGAGAGGGUGAACGGCCACAUUGGAACUGAGACACGGUCCAAACUCCUACGGGAGGCAGCAGUAAGGAGUUUUCGGCAAUGGGGGAAACCCUGACCGAGCAACGCCGCGUGAGCGAUGACGGCCCUAUGGGUUGUAAAGCUCUGUUGUAAGCCAUGAAUGACAGCUUGAGGAAAUGCAAGUUGUUUGACGACAGCUUACCAGAAAGCCACGGCUAACUACGUGCCAGCAGCCGCGGUAAUACGUAGGUGGCAAGCGUUAUCCGGAAUUAUUGGGCGUAAAGAGUGAGCAGGCGGUUAAUUAAGUCUGAGGUUAAAGCGUGGGGCUCAACCCCAUAAAGCCUUGGAAACUGAUUGACUAGAGUACGGGAGAAGUGAAGGGAACUCCAUGUGUAGCGGUGAAAUGCGUAGAUAUAUGGAAGAACACCAGUGGCGAAGGCGCUUCACUAGCCCGAAACUGACGCUCAGUCACGAAAGCGUGGGUAGCAAAUAGGAUUAGAUACCCUAGUAGUCCACGCUGUAAACGAUGACAACUAAAUAUUGCCGCGAGGCAGUGUUGAAGCUAACGCAUUAAGUUGUCCGCCUGGGGAGUACGGUCGCAAGACUGAAACUUAAAGGAAUUGACGGGGACCCGCACAAGCAGUGGAGCAUGUGGUUUAAUUCGACGCAACGCGAAGAACCUUACCAGGGCUUGACAUAUUGAUUACUACCUUCUAAGAGAUUAGAAGAGACUAUAAAUACAGGUGGUGCAUGGUUGUCGUCAGCUCGUGUCGUGAGAUGUUGGGUUAAGUCCCGCAACGAGCGCAACCCCUUUCCUUAGUUGCCAUCAUUCAGUUGGGAACUCUAAGGAUACUGCCGAUGUAAGUCGGAGGAAGGUGGGGAUGACGUCAAAUCAUCAUGCCCUUUAUGUCCUGGGCGACACACGUGCUACAAUGGCCGGUACAAAGAGACGCGAAUCCGCGAGGAGGAGCAAAUCCCAUAAAGCAGGUCUCAGUUCGGAUAAGAGUCUGCAACUCGACUCUUUGAAGCUGGAAUUGCUAGUAAUCGCGAAUCAGCCAUGUCGCGGUGAAUACGUUCCCGG
rnacentral:rRNA from 1 species